GUACGUGAUGGCAGAUUCGAC
rnacentral:miRNA from 1 species